GCCUGACCUGCUGCGUUCCACCAGCAUUUUGUGUGUGUUGCUUUUCCAGUGUGGUUGACUUCAUUGGUAUGAGCUCUGGCCACUUUGGAUGUGCAUCGACAACAAUCAGAAACAUGGAGUCCAUCAAUGGCCCAGUAAAGUCGAUACAUACUCUUUGCCAUGUUGAAGACUGACACUCCCAGAGGUGUAAUGGUGCCUGUAGGGAUGAAUUUUGAACUUCCUGCAUCCUGGAAAGCUUUUGGUGAAGUCUUCAAUCAGUCCAUCUAUUCCCAGCCACCACAUGUAGCUCCGGGUGAGAUUCUUCAUCUUGACUGUAUCCAGGUGUCCCUCAUGCCGAUUCUGUAACACUCUGGUGUACAGUUUAGAGGGAACCACAAGAGAUCCACACAUCAGCAUUCUUUCACAUAACAGACAUGUGUUCUCAUCUCACUGAGAACUCUGGAAACAGUAUUACCAUGAGCUGGCCUUCCUCCCAUGGUGAUGUCAUAGACUUUAGUCGACGUCGGGUCAUUCCUUGUUUCUCUUUGUGUUUCAGAAUUUUUUACUAGCAACUGGUCCACCAAUGCUGUGUGAAACACUUCUGCUGGGUCACAAUAUGAAGGCUUUUUUCCUUCUGUUACCAGCAGUGGUAGAUAUGACAAGCCAUCAGUGUUGCUGUUUUGUUUGGUACCCUUGAACUCUAUGUUACAUCAGUGUGCUCCCAGGAACAGUACCCAACAUUGUAACCAGGUAGCAAUCACCACUAUAAUUACCAGUACCUUCCUGGAAUUCAAAAUGGACACAAGGGGCCUGGUAAUCAGUCACUAGGGUAAACUUUUGUCCAUAGAGGUAGUGGUGGAAUUUCUUUAUUCCCCAUGUUGGACUAAGAGCCUCUUGGUCAAUCUGUGCAUAGGUGCAUUCUGUGCUUGUCAGUGAUCUUGAAGCAAAUGCAAUUAGGCGUUCAGAUCCAUCUUUCAUUACGUGUGAUGAAAUGGCUCCAAUGUAGAGGAUGCAUAAGGGGAUGCAUCGCAUGCCAGUCUGAUGGGCAGGGAUGGGUCAUAAUGGGUGAGCAGUUCAUCUGAUGUUAUUAGCAUCUUUGUUUACUUGAAUGCUCUUUCACAUCUUUCUGACCAUUCCCACUUUGCUCCUGUCUGUAACAGUGCAUUCAAUGGAUGCAGCACUGUUGCCGUAUUUGGGAGAAACUGGUGGCAGUAGUUUACAAGGCCCAAGUAUGAUCCGAGUUGUGACGCAUUUUCCAGUUUGGGUGCCUGUAGCCGUGCUUCGAUCUUCUCUUGAGACUUAUGUAGCCGCGCUUGUUAAUGACAUGUCCACAAUAUGAGAUUUCAUUCUUGAAAAACUCACAUUUCUCUCUCUUUGUACACAGACCAUACUCACUCAGCCUGGUAAGCACUUUACCGAGGUUCAGGGGGUGCUCUUCAUCAUUCUUGCCAGUCAUGAUGAUAUCAUCAAGGUAACAUUGUGUUCCUGGGAUACCUUGGAGCACUUGGUCCAUCGCUCUUUACCAAGUUGCUGGAGCUGAUGCGAUGCCAAAGAUGAGAGGAUUAUACUGGAACAAUCCUUUGUGAGUGUUGAUUGUGAGGAACUUCCUGCUUGACAGCUCAACUUCCAUUUGCAGGUAGACUGAUGACAAGUCAGUCUUUUAAAACCUCUCCCCACCUGCCAAAGAUGCAAAAAUGUCUCCUAUUUGUGGCAAGGUUAUUGCAUAGUAUACAACACCAGGUUGAUGCUCUCUUUGAAGUCCCCACAUUUGCGAACAGCUCCAGCCUUCCUUUUUGAUCACUGGGACAAUGGGCACAGCCCAAUCACUCCACUCAACCUUGCAGAGAAUGCCAGAUGUCUCCAAGCUCUGCAGUUCAGCAUCUACAUCAGGACAUAGUAUGUGAGGGACUGGAUGUGCUUUAUGGAAUCUUGCUGUCGCUGCUUCAUCCAGUUCAAUUCCAGCUUUCAUGCUUUUGAGUUUACCAAUACCCUUCUCAAACACCUUCUCAUUAGCAUUAAGUAGCUGUGCCAGUUUCUAGUAAGUGCUAUUUGGACUGCAGUUGCCUGUUGAUGUCACACUGAGAGCAUUGAUUGUGUUCCAGUCUAGUUGGAUUUUUCUCAACCAUUCACAUCCAAAGAGUGCUGGCCUCCACUUUUCAAUACAUGAAGCUCUAACUUCUGUGUUUGGCCUUUACACAUCACAUUCACUUUCAGUUUGCCUUUGGGAGACACUUUUUCAUCUGUAUAGGUCUUUGGUAUCAUCGAGGCCCUUUCUAAUGGUAGCUUAGAAAGCAGUCUGUUGUAGUCAGCCUUCUGAAAUUAUAGACAAAGCUGACCCUGUAUCCAGCUCCAUUUACAGAUUUACACCAGAUACAUCUAUUUGAACCAGAUGAUUUUGUGAUUUGCUUCAGUAAUGCUAUGCAGUUCUAGACAUGGCAGCUCACCUUUGUCAGACUCUGUGUUGUCCAAUUCUGCUUCACACUUUAUACAUUUACUUUAUACAUUUCAUUCACUUUAUACUUCAUUCACUUUAUACAUUUGUUUAGCUUUGUGUUUGAAUCUUUUCACUCUGUGUGGUUUUUCCCUUUGUUUGUGCUUUUUGUCUGACUUCCACACUGUCUCCAUGUGACCUUGGCUGUGACACUUCCUACAAACAUUUUCUUUGAAACAAAAGUCAUUUGCAUCAUGAGAGGAUUUUCCACAUUGAUAACAUUUUUGGCUUUUUGCACCAUUCAGGGACAUUUUGUGCAUUUCACAUUCUAAACUCCUGUAGUUCUGCUGCAUCCUUUGCUAUAGUCUCUAAUGAUAUUACAAUGGUCAAUGGCUGUUUUAAAAUUAAGUUUCUUUCUGACAGCAGCCUCUUUUGAGUACUUUGACAAUGCAUACCACAUACAAGCCUAACCCUUAAUACAGCAAAAAGUCCAUCUCUAAAGUCACAGUAUUGGGAAAAUUUGCACAGUUUCAUCCUUUGACUGGUUCCUUUUGUUAAAUAACCAUAUAACCAUACAACAAUUACAGCAUGGAAACAGGCCAUCUCGGCCCUUCUAGUCCAUGCCAAAUGCUUACUUUCACCUAAUCCCACUGACCCUCUAUUCCUUUCUUGUCCAUAUACCUAUCCAAUUUUGCUUUAAAUGGCAAUACCGAACCUGCAUCUACCACUCUUACUGGAAGCUCAUUCCACAUAGCUACCACUCUCUGAAUAAAGAAAUUCCCCCUCAUGUUACCCAUAAACUUUUGCCCACUAAGUCUCAACUCAUGUCCUCUUGUUUCAAUCUCCCCUACUCUCAAUGGAAAAAGCCUAUCCACGUCAACUCAAUCUAUCCCCCUCAUAAUUUUAAAUACCUCUAUCAAGUCCCCCCUCAACCUUCUAUGCUCCAAAGAAUAAAGACCUAACUUGUUCAAUCUUUCCUCGUAACUUUGGUGCUGAAACCCAGAUAACAUUCUAGUAAAUCUUCUCUAUACUCUCUCUAUUUUGUUGACAUCUUUCCUAUAAUUUGGUGACCAGAACUGUACACAAUACUCCAAAUUCGGCCUUACCAAUCCCUUGUACAAUUUCAACAUUACAUCCCAACUUCUAUACUCAAUGCUCUGAUUUAUAAAGGCCAACAUACCAAAAGCUUUCUUCACCACCCUAUCCACAUGAGAUUCCACCUUCAAGGAACUAUGCACCGUUAUUCCUAGAUCACUCUGUUCUACUGCAUUCUUCAAUGCCCUACCAUUUACCAUGUAUGUCCUAUUUUGAUUAUUCCUACCAAAAUGUAACACCUCAAAUCUAAAUCCCUCAGUUAUUACCAGCAGUUUUGGGUGAAGACAUUUGUAAUAAUUUCAUCAAACAUCUUACUUGCUGGUUUUUCAGGAGUUACUAAGUUGCAUAAGUGCCUGAAUGUUUCAGCUCCCAUUAAGCUAAGAAAUGUGGAGACUUUCUUUUCCUCGUCCAUAUUGUUCACGUUACAAUAUUGUUCAACACUCUCGAUAUAUGGUUCCCAGUCCUCAUUAGCACUGUCAAUUUCGUCAACUUUUCCGACUAAGGCCAUCAUCUCAUUAUUUUUACUAUAACUUUGCUAGUUGUCAUCUUUCGUUGUGUACUGUGCAGUUACUCAGGUAUCCCUUUGUGUUGCCUUUAUGACAGUUAUUUAGUUUAUAAUAUUUUCGCUUAGUAAUUUGUUUGUUAGCAUUCUAGUUAAAGUUAGGAUUGUUUAAAGUUGUCUGUGAGAUAUCACGGCAUGCGAUGACGUCACAUCCGGUUUCGCUGUGUCCUGUGGGAAAAUACCGGUUUGGAGAAAUGGGAAGGCGGGGGGAAAGAUACAUGUGUGAGCAAGCAGCAGCAAUGUUUUCUCUCUACGCACCAGGAACAUUGUGAAAGCAAUGCUGUGAGUUAUGAGAUAAUUGAUAAGUUGAAUUAAAAUGUUAACGCCGAUCCUGUUAAAAGUAACGACAGUCGAUAAUGUUUAUGUUUUCGUUAGUUAAAGAGUUGCGGAUAGUUUGUGUUGAAGUGUAUGUAAAGCAGUCAAUGGCAUAGGUAGAUUCUGACUGUAUGCUGCACUUUAAUGUAAUGUAGUUGUUGUAGUUUUACCUUGCAAGUAUUUACGAUGUAAAUGUAAUAUCAAGAAGGAAACAAACACUGUACAAAUCUUGUAUUGUUUUAUCAACAGUUUUCACCAUACGUCAAUGUGAAAGAGUGAACAGUAAACGGUUAAUCUUACUGUGAUCCUGUCGUUAUUGACAAAGGUUUAACUCGGUGUUUAGCUCAGCAUUCUGUUACACCCGAGCGAGAACACUACAGUGAAAAAGCAGCAUUAUCAGGUGUCUCAAGUGCUGCAAUGACAUCUCGAUCCAGCGUCAAGUCGUUGCCACCCAGCAAGGGGGGCAGUAGAACAUCAUCAAGUAAGUCCACCCAUGCAAGAGCUAAGGCAGAAGCCGCCAGGGUGUGACUGCGUUACGCCAGACAAGAAGCAGAUUUGAAAAUGGAAGCAGCUACCAGAGAAGCCAAAAACCAGAAGGAAGCGGCCACCAGAGAAAUGGAAAAGGCUGCCAGAGAAGCCCAAAACCAGUUGGAAAGGGCAAGGAUAGCGGCGGAGUUAGAAGUGCUGAUGCGGGAACGAGAAGAAGAAGCUGCCAGGGUGGAAGCAGAGUUCAUAGAAGAUGCUGAAGAAAUGUAUGAUCUGGUUGAUGUAAAAUCUACGUCAGAAAAGACCAGAUUGGAACGCACAAGCGACUAUGUCCAAUCUCAAAUAGACUGGAAGAUUCGUUCUUCCACUCCAUACUUAUCUGAUAACACCCCACGUCAUGAGGAGUCUCAGAGAGACCCAAUUGCACCACAUCCAUCUGAGGAAGACAAUUUACCCUCACAACUCCGCGAUGAAGUCAAGAAUGAAAGAGCUGAUGACAAAUACUUCUCGACACCAAACUUACCAGAUUUGGCGAGAAGAGAGGCAAAGGCUGAAUUCAGAACAGCAAAGUCCAUAACAGAGGUACGCCCUCAGUCAUAUACCCACCGACAUACUUCCCCAGCCCGCAUGCCACUUGCAAUUGAACCCAUGGCACAGUAUUUAGCACGACGAGAUCUCGUCACUUCAGGACUAUACCAGUUCGACGAUAAACCUGAAAAUUACUGUGCAUGGUACUCCACAUUCACCAACACUAUCGACGGAAUCCAGCUCAGAGCAACCCAAGAGUUGGAUCUUAUGGUGAAAUGGCUGGGGAAAGAAUCAUGCGAACAGGUGAGACGCAUACGUUCAGUGUACAUCAACAAAACCGAGCUAGCCUUAAGCAAAGCAUGGGAGAGACUUCGGGAGGGCUAUGCGGCCCCCGAAAUUAUUGAAGCGGCGCUAUACCGAUGUCUGGAAAACUUUCCUAAGGUGUCAGCCAAAGAUCACAUUAAGUUAAGGGAGCUCGGAGAUUUACUCAUGGAGAUUCAAGGCGCCAAAGAAGAUGGCUACUCAACUGGAUGGAGGAAUUGGGGAUCAUACAGCAGUCCGACAGCCCAUGGGCCUCCCCCCUGCACAUGGUGCCCAAAGCAUCAGGGGGCUGGAGACCGUGCGGCGACUACCACCGGCUGAAUGAGGCUACAAUACCGGACCGCACGUUCAGGACUUUGCAGCAAACCUGCACGGCGCACGGAUCUUCUCCAAGGUAGACCUCAUCCGGGGAUACCAUCAAAUCCCGAUGCAUCCGGACGACGUCCCCAAAACGGCACACAUCACCCCUUUCGGCCUUUUUGAGUUCCUCCGCAUGCCGUUUGGCCUAAAGAAUGCCGCACAGACGUUUUGGCAGUUAAUGGACACAGUGGGACGCAACCUGGACUUCGCUUUCAUCUAUUUGGACAACAUCCUCGUAGCCAGCAGCAGUCGACAGGGGCAUCUGUCCCACCUCCGUCAACUCUAUGCCCUUCUGAGUGAAUACGGCCUGACAAUCAACCCAGCCAAAUGCCAGUUUGGGAUCAACACCAUUGACUUCCUGGGCCAGAGGAUUACUAAAGACGGGACAAAUCUUCUGCCCGCUAAGGUAGAUGCAGUCCGCCAUUUCCCCCGACCCAACACAAUCAAAGGCCUUCAGGAAUUCGUGGGUAUGGUCAAUUUCUACCACCGCUUCCUCCCUUCAGCUGCCCGAAUCAUGCACCCCCUGUUCACCCGGUCCGGGCAAGAACAUUACCAGGGACAAGGAGUCCGCCGCCGCUUUCAUUAAAACGAAAGAAGCCUUGGCAAACGCCGCGAUGCUAGUGCACCCCAGAAUGGACGUCCCUACCACCCUCACAAUGGACACAUAUAACACGACAGUCGGUGGGGUACUGGAGCAACUCAUCGAGGGUCGCUGGCAACCCCUGGCGUUUUUCAGCAAACACCUGCGACCGCCCGAGCUCAAGUACAGUGCUUUCGACCGGGAACUGUUGGCGCUAUACCUGGCAAUCCGGCAUUUCAGGUACUUCUUGGAAGGUAGGCCCUUCACCGUGUUCACGGACCACAAGCUGCUUACCUUUACGUUCAUGAAGGUGUCCGAUCCCUGGUCGUCCCGCCAGCAGUGACAUCUGACCUACAUCUCCAAAUACACGACGGACGUCCGGCAUGUCUCAAGAAAGGACAAUGUCAUGGCAGACACUCUCUCUCACCCUACCAUUCAUGCCCUGUCCCAGGGGGUAGACUAUGAAGCACUGGCGGAGGCGCAGCAGGCAGACGAGGAGAUCCCUAGUUACAGAACCACAGUCUUCGGUUUGCAGCUCCAGGACCUCCCCGUAGGCCCAGGUGAGAGGACCCUACUCUGUGACAUCACCACCGACCAAGCCCGCCCCGUCGUCCUGGCAGCCUGGCGGCGGCGAGUUUUCAACUCCAUUCAUAACUUAGCGCACCCCUCCAUCAGGACAACCAUCAGGAUGGUCUCCAACAGGUUCGUUUGGCACGGACUUCGCAAGUAGGUCAGUGAAUGGGCCAAAACGUGCAUGCACUGUCAAACAGCCAAGGUGCAGUGGCACACCAAAGCUCUGCCACAGCGGUUCCACCCCACCCACCGGCGUUUCGACCUCAUUCAUGUGGAUAUCGUGGGCCCUCUGCCAGUGUCACGUGGAGCACGGCACCUCCUCACUAUCGUGGACCGGUUCACAAGAUGGCCAGAGGCGGUCCCGCUCACGCACACCACCUCUGAAUCUUGCGCCCGGGCACUGAUCUCCACCUGGGUAUCUCGCUUUGUUGUACCGGCCCACAUUACCUCCGACAGAGGCGCCCAGUUCACCUCCAGCCUGUGGUCAGCUAUGGCCAGCCUUUUGGGGACACAGCUACACCACACAACUGCCUACCACCCACAGUCGAACGGCCUGGUGGAGCGUUUCCACCGUCACCUAAAGUCGGCUCUCAUGGCCCGCCUGAGAGGAGCCAACUGGGCGGACGAGCUUUCCUGGGUCCUGCUCGGAAUCUGCAUGGCGCCCAUAGAAGAUCUGCACACCUCAUCGGCCGAGUUGGUGUACAGCGCACUCCUGGUUGUCCCAGGGGAGUUCAUACCAGCCCCAAGGGGGCAAGAGGAAGAACCUGCAGCAGUCCUGGGCAGACUACGCGAGAGGCUCGGUAACCUGGCCCCCAUACCCACUUCACAGCAUGGGCAGAACCCGACCUGCAUACCCAAAGACCUGCAAAACUGUAAGUUUGUUUUUGUAUGACGGGGCGGACAUUGGACACCGCUACAGCGGCCCUACGAGGGGCCAUUUACAGUGAUCAGAAGCAACAGGUCCACAUUCGUGCUGGACAUUGGGGGGAAGAGAGGAGGUUUUCACAGUGGACUGACUCAAACCGGCCCAUGUGGACUUGGCACAGCUGGUCAAAAUUCCGGCAACGCGGCGCAGAGGCAGACCUCCCAAACAGAGUCUGGCCCAGACUGUGGACAUUGGGGGGUGUAUCGCCAAUUCUGGGGGGGGGUGGGGUUAUGUGGCGACCCACUUCCCAGCGCACUCGAACCGGCUCACAAAUCGGCACGCGCCGGCAUUGAGGCCGGUCCCAAAGAGGGCACCAAGUCUGCUUCACCAGCAAGGGGAAAAGCCCACGCGUGGGAUGGGACUGUGAAUACGCGCCCCCUAUAGCAUUCCUGCCCAGGGAGGGCGGGAUCAGGAAGGCUUUAAAGCCAGGCCGCGAAGUUCGAAUAAAUCUCUUUUGCAACUGCAGCUCAUCGACUACGUGUUGUUAUUUCAGCGCUGCGUGUAGCACACCGCUACACUCUCAUAAUUUAGGGCUGGCAUGUACAAGCCAUAUAUCUAUUUCUUGGUCUGUGGAAGCCAUGAAUCUAUUUUCUGUCUGCAUUGUAUUUUGUGGCACGUUUAUUAUGGUAAUUUGUCAUGUGGGUUGUGGCAUGGUAGAAGCAAAUAAGUAACCGUGCUUGCAGUUACUUUGUUGUUAGCCAGAAAGAGAGAGCCAUGGGGAAUGAUAUUUUUGUUCCUCACUUAAAUAUGCUAAUUUAGCUAAUUGAAAUGCUAAUUUAGUUUGAUCACUAAUUACACUUAGUAUUGUUGGGUCUCUGUCUAAUCCUUAAAGUUCUUCUGGGGUUUAAGAAUGGUGAGCAGUCUUAAUUCUUAACAAUUAUUUAUUUUAAAGUUUAAACAAACAUACAAACUAAGUGAAAAGCUGGGAAGUAAAGCAGAGAUUCAAGCAAAGAUGGCGAAGAUAAAAAGAUGAAAAAGGAAAAUCUCUCACCUUUACCAUCGAGAGAUACAGUGUGGAACAGGCCCUUCCGGCCCAACAGACUGCACCAUUCAGCAACCCACAUACCACCAGCCUAAUUACAGGACAACUUACAUUGACCAACUAACUUACUAACCGGCACAUCUUUGGACUGUCGGAAGAAACCAGAGCGCCGGGAGGAAAGCCAUGUGGUUACAGGGAGAAUGUAAAACUCCUUACAGUUGGCACCAGAAUUGAACUCUGAACUCCGACGCCCCAUGGCACGAUAGCGUUAUGCUAAUUGCAACACUACCAUGAGGCCUUGUCCACACUGACCACAAUACCUCUUCAUGUUAAUUAUUGUGCAAUAUAAUUUGAGAUGAAAUGGAUCUAGAUAAUUCAUCCAAGGUGAGUGGUCAAAUAAACUUUUCUUUAACAUAUACAAGUGGAUGGAGGCAGCAUAAUUAUAUAAUUGGUAACAAUACCAGUACCUCAUUUGUUGCAUUGGUUUGAGAAACUUUUAUAUAAUGAGAGAUUGGGUAGACUGGGUCUGUUUUCCUUAGAGUGAAGGAAACUGAGAGGAGACCUUACAGAGGCUCAUAAAUUAUAAGAGACAUAGACAGGGUUAAAGUGUUUAUUUGCAAUGGUGGGAGUGGUUAAAACUUGUAGGUUUAUGGUGAAAGAUAUUCUGUAGGUGCUGGAAAUUCAGACACACACACAAAAUGUUGAGGAACUCAGCAGGCCAGGCAGCUUUUGGGCCGAGACCUUUCAUCAGUUCUGAGGGUCUGAAGAUACUGAUGAAAGGUCUUGGCCCAAACUGUCAACUCUUUAUUCCUGACAGACUUGCUGAGUUCCUCCAGCAUUUUCUGUGUGUUACUCCAGGAAAGAGCAAGCAGCUUAAAGUGGAUCAGAACAGUAUACUUUUCAUCCAAAAAGUCAAGUCAACUUUUAUUGUCAUUUCGACCAUAACUGCUGGUACAGUGCAUAGUAAAAAUGAGACAACGGUUUUCAGGACCAUGGUUCACAUGACACGGUACAAAAAACUAGUCUGAACUACGUAAUAAAAAAAACACAGAGAAAGCUACACUAGACUGCAGACCUACACUGGACUGCAUAAAGUGCACAAAAAACAGUGCAGGCAUUACAAUAAAUAAUAAACAGGACAGUAGGGCAAGGUGUCAGUCCAGGCUUCGGGUAUUGAGGAGUCUGAUAGCUUGGGGGAAGAACCUGUUACAUAGUCUGGUCGUGAGAGCCCAAAUGCUUCGGAGCCUUUUCCCAGACGGCAGGAGGGAGAAGAGAUUGUAUGAGGGAUGUGUGGGGUCCUUCAUAAUGCUGUUUCCUUUGCGGAUGCAGUGUGUAGUGUAAAUGUCCGUGAUGGCGGGAAGAGAGACCCCGAUGAUCUUCUCAGCUGACCUCACUAUCCGCUGCAGGGUCUUGCAAUCCGAGAUGGUGCAAUUUCCGAACCAGGCAGUGACGCAGCUGCUCAGGAUGCUCUCAGUACAACCCCUGUAGAAUAUGAUGAGGAUGGGGGGUGGGAGAUGGACUUUCCUCAGCCUUCGCGGAAAGUAGAGACGUUGCUGGGCUUUCUUUGCUAUGGAGCUGGUGUUGAGGGACCAGCUGAGAUUCUCUGCCAGGUGAACACCAAGAAAUCUGGUGCUCGUUACGAUCUCUACCGAGGAGCCAUCGAUGUUCAGUGGGGAGUGGUCGCUCCGUGUCCUCCUGAAGUCAACAACCAUCUCUUUUGUUUUGUUCACAUUCAGAGACAGGUUGUUGGCUCUGCACCAGUCCGUUAGCCGCUGCACCUCCUCUCUGUAAGCUGACUCGUUCUUGCUGAUGAGACCCACCACGGUGGUGUCAUCGGCGAACCUGAUGAUGUGGUUCGAGCUGUGUGUUGCAGCACAGUCAUGGGUCAGCAGAGUGAACAGCAGUGGACUGAGCACACAACCCUGGGGGCCCCGUGCUCAGUGUGAUGGUGUUGGAGAUGCUGCUCCAGAUCCGGACUGACUGAGGUCUCCCAGUCAGGAAGUCUAGGAUCCAAUUGCAGAGUAACGUGUUCAGCCCCAGUAGGCCCAGCUUUCCAAUCAGUUUCUGAGGGAUGAUUGUGUUGAAUGCUGAACUAAAGUCUAUGAACAGCAUCUGAACGUAUGUGUCUUGUUUGUCCAGGUGGAGGGUGGUGGCAAUGGCGUCAAACAAAGUAGUUGGAAUCUGGAAUUAGCUGCUGGAGGCAGGAACAGGAGCAACAUUUAAGAGGAAUCUGGACAGUACGUGAAUGAACAAGAUAUAGAGCAUAUUAAUAGAUGAGUAUAGGUAGACAUAAUGAUCAUCAUAGACCAGGGAGCUGAUUGUGGUGGAAAUGAUAAGCAGUUUCAGGUUCCUGUGCAUCAGCAUCUCAGAGGGUCUAUAGUGGACAAGAACGUUGAUGAAGAAGGUAUGUUAGAGGCUUUACUUCAUUAGGAGUAUGAGGAGAUUUGUUACAUUACCAAAGAUUUGCAAAUUUGUACAGAUGUACAGUGGAGAACUUCCACACAGCCUAAUGUGGAGGCUCCAAUGCACAGGAUAAAAAGAGGGUGCGGACGGUUGUAGUCUCAGCCAGCUUCACCAUAGGCACAGCCCUCCUCACCACUGAGGACAUCCUCAAGAGGUGGUGCCUCAAAAAGAUGGCACCCAUCAUUGAAAACCCACACCAUCAGGGAUGUGUCCUCUUCUCAUCCCUGACUACUGUCAGUGAGAAGGUACAGAGACACCCACUCAUUGUUUUAGGAACAGCUGCUUCUUCUUCCCCUCCGCCAUCCAUGAAUCCGUGAGCACCACCUCGUUAAUCCGUUUUUGCAAUUUUUAUAUCUUUGUGACUUCUAGUAAUUUUUAUAUCUUACACUGUACUGCUGCUGCUGCAAAAAAAAUCAUGACACAGCUCAAAUGCCAUCUAUAAAUUUGCUGAUGAUUGUUGGCAGAAUCUCAGAUGGUGACAAGAAGGCAUACAGCAGGGAGAUAUACCAGCUGGUUGAGUGGUGCUGCAGGAACAACUUUGCACUCAAUGUGAGUAAGUCCAAAGAGUUGAUUGUGGGCUUCAGAAAGGAUAGGACGAGUGAACACAAACCAGUCCUCAGGGAUCAGUAGGGGAGAGAAUGAUCAGUUCCCAGGUCUUGGAUGUCAAUAUCUCCGAGGAUCCAACCUGGUCCCUAAAUAUCGAUGCAGCUACAGAGAAGAGAUGACAGUGGCUAUAUUUAAUCAGGAGUUUGAGGAGAUUUGGUUAGUUGCCUAAAACACUCAAACACUUCUACAGAUGUACUGUGGAGAGUAUUUGGACUAGCUCUUUCACCGUCUGGUAAGGGGCGGAACAUGGUAAUUGCACAGGAACAUAGUAAGCUGUAGAGAGUUGUAGAAUUAGUCAGCUCCAUUAUGGGUACUAGCCAUCACAGUAUCCAAGACAUCGUUGUAGAGCGAUGCCUCAGAAAGCUAGCUUCCAUCAUCAAGGAUCCCCACCACCCAGGAAUGCCAUUUUCUCAUUGUUACCAUGGGAACGGAGGUACAGAAGCCUGAAGGCACACACUCGACGAUUCAGGAACAGCUUCUUCCUCUCCACCAUCUGAAUUCUGAGUGGACAUUGAAUACCUCACUAUUUUUAAAAUUUCUGUUUUUGCACUACUUACCUUAAUUUAUAUAUUUAGUAUACAGUAUAUACAUUGUGGGGUGUAUGGGGUGUCUAGGGAGGGGUAGCACCUCUGGUGGGGGGCUUGCCGUGCCCUUUUUCAGGGCAGCUCGUCCACCUUUGGUCCCCACCUGGUGCUCAGCUCUCACCUGUGGCUCCAAGUAGCUGUAACACACGCAGCGGCCAAACUCCGGUAAACCGUCUCGGCAGACGGGCCAAACCAGGUGAGGGUAGCCGACGGGUCUUCGACCCUCGGUGAGGUAGGGGAUUUGCCUAUCCCAGCGUGUGAAGUGUGGCCCUGGCAGAUGGAGCGGAGGAGACCGAUUGAUGGUCCAACGGUCAAGAAGGCAGGCCAGCAGGUGUGGUGGAGCGCUAAGAGUGUGACAAGACAUGCAGACGUCCUGGUCAUCUACUGCAAGAGGUGGUGAUCUCUUUAAACUCUUUAAACCCGGCAGUAGGCGAUGGCAAACCAUUGCUGUAACCUGCAGAGUACAUGAUUUCCCAAUAUGUCAGAGCGGUGUGGAGCAAAAUUGCCCGCCAACUGGAAUUUCCAGAUGAGACCUAAAGCGAGUGAUAUACAUUGUAUAUACUGUAAUUCAGGUUUUUCUAUAUUUAUCAUGUAUCGCAUUGUAUUGCUGCUGCAAAGUUAACAAAUUCCAUGAUGUAUGUUGAUUCUGAUUCUGAUUUUG